rnacentral:rRNA from 1 species
UACGUAGGGUGCAAGCGUUUGUCCGGAAUUAUUGGGCGUAAAGAGCUUGUAGGCGGUUUGUCGCGUCUGCUGUGAAAGUUCGGGGCUCAACCCCGAACUUGCAGUGGGUACGGGCAGACUAGAGUGUGGUAGGGGAGACUGGAAUUCCUGGUGUAGCGGUGAAAAUGCGCAGAUAUCAGGAGGAACACCGAUGGCGAAGGCAGGUCUCUGGGCCACUACUGACGCUGAGAAGCGAAAGCAUGGGGGAGCGAACAGG